UAGGGAAUCUUCCACAAUGGACGCAAGUCUGAUGGAGCAACGCCGCGUGAGUGAAGAAGGUUUUCGGACCGUAAAGCUCUGUUGUUGGUGAAGAAGGAUAGAGGUAGUAACUGGCCUUUAUUUGACGGUAAUCAACCAGAAAGUCACGGCUAACUACGUGCCAGCAGCCGCGGUAAUACGUAGGUGGCAAGCGUUGUCCGGAUUUAUUGGGCGUAAAGCGAGCGCAGGCGGAAGAAUAAGUCUGAUGUGAAAGCCCCCGGGCUUAACCGAGGAAUUGCAUCGGAAACUGUUUUUCUGAGUGCAGAAGAGGAGAGUAGAACUCCAUGUGUAGCGGUGGAAUGCGUAGAUAUAUGGAAGAAUACCAGUGGCGAAGGCGGCUCUCUGGUCUGCAACUGACGCUGAGGCUCGAAAGCAUGGGUAGCGAACAGGAUUAGAUACCCUGGUAGUCCAUGCCGUAAA
rnacentral:rRNA from 1 species